AAAUUGCUAUGUGAUCCAUUAAUUCCCUUCUGGAUAUAUAUUCAAAAGAACUGGAAGCAGGGUCUUAAAGAAAUACUUGUAGCACCAUGUUUAUAGCACCAUGACUUAUAACAACUGAAAUAUGGAAGUAACCCAAGUGCCCAACAGGAGAUGAAUGGAUGGUAGAGAGUGAAGUAUAUAAAUGUGCUGUGCGUUGUCUUUCUAUAUGCUGUGAAUAUGUGUUGCUCCCACUGACUAUAUAUAAAGCUGUUUAGUCCUAUGGCAAGGCAGCUUAGAGGCAGGUGAGAAAUCCAAAACAGGGAGAGGAGAAGAAAGGCAGAGGCAGAAGAGAUGCCAGCUGUUGCCGAAGAAGCAGCAAGAUGCCAGCAGACAGGUGAUGCUACGGCCAUGUGGCGACUUAUAGAUUACUGCAAAUGGGCUAAGUUAUAAGAGCUAGCUAGCAAGAAGCCUGCCAUAGGCCAUACAAUUGGUAAUUAAUAUUAAGCCUCUGUAUGAUUAUUUUAUAAGUAGCUGAGGAACCCUGGGGCUGGGCGGAACCAGAGGAACGCAGGACUGCAGGGCCAGGUGGGACCUGAGAAAACUUACAACUACAUAAAUGCUAUUUAGCCUUGAAAAGGAUUGAAUUCUGACAUGUGGGGGACUAAAUGGGUGAACUCUGAAGACAUUACCAGAUGUGAAACCCUGUGUGGUUACAUUUAUAUGAAGCACUUAGUGCAGUCUAAACAGAGUCGGAGAGAUGGUUCUAUCAGUAAAGUCCCUGCUGUGCAAGCACGAGGUUCUGAGUUCGAAUCCCCACACCCCACAUGUCUGUAACCCCUGCACUCAGGGAGAAGAGAGGAAGCAGGCAGAUCCCAGAAGCCAGCUCAUCCAAGUUAAUAAUAUUCUGGUGCGUUUAAAAGCCGGAGAAAGAAGGAACCAUGCAGUUUGAUAUAUAGCAUCAAAACGAAGAGAUCUUGGCAUUGACUGAGUUGCCAAUGCACCCAUGCUGUCCAGGCCCCACAGCCACAGGCUUCCUCGCCUCUGCUGUCUGCCUGGCUCCUGGGGUUGCCCGUUCUGACAGUCCAUGGAGCCCUGGAUCCUUUGAUGGCCUAAGAAGAGGCAAGAGCUUAAUUGAUGGCAGGAAGACAGCCGUGCAGUCUCAGAGCAGCGGAGAAGGGUCCAGCUCGGCAUGAGGACCUCUGUAGCCAGCUUUCUCUUGGGCCACUGACCAGCUCCCAAAUCAUGACAUGGAGACUUAUUAGUUAGGAGUGCUUGGCCUUAGCUUAUGCUUGUCCCACUAGUUUUUAUAACUUAAUUUAACCCAUUUCUCUUCAUCUACAUUUUGC